CACAGGUGGGAUUGCGUUUUUAAAUAAUGAAUAGGCAUUAAGUGUGAUUAGGUGGCGGCCCAAAGGGCUGCUCGAGUCUUAAGAGGAGAGUUAGAGGAAUAACCAAAUGAAGGAUGAAUCUAUAGAUAUUGGUUGGAACAUCGAGAGCGACAGCAUCACUCUAUUUUAGGACUGACACUGAAUCACUAAAGUGUGGGUAGCAAAACGG
rnacentral:rRNA from 1 species